rnacentral:rRNA from 1 species
UACGGAGGGGGCUAGCGUUGUUCGGAAUUACUGGGCGUAAAGAGCGCGCAGGCGGUCGUUCAAGUCGCGUGUGAAAGCCCCCGGCUCAACUGGGGAGGGGUCACGCGAUACUGAUCGACUCGAAGGCAGGAGAGGGAAGUGGAAUUCCCGGUGUAGUGGUGAAAUGCGUAGAGAUCGGGAGGAACACCAGCGGCGAAGGCGGCGACCUGGACAAGUACUGACACUCAACUACGAAAGCGUGGGGGAGCAAACAGG